rnacentral:lncRNA from 1 species
UUUCAGUUUUAUUAUUGUUUCCUUUUUUUAAAUAAAAAAAUAAGCAAUUCUGUUUACUAUACUGAUAAAUAAACUGUUGGUUUAGCAUAUGGCUGGUCUAAUUAGGUGAGACUGAAUUGUCUAAUAUCAAGUGUGUUAUUUAGUAUCGUCUUCUGUAACCUACUUGCCACAACUGGAAAACUAACGGUUCAUUUUAUUCUGCAGAGCAUGAGUAUCCACAGCGCUUAAGCUGCUAGUUACCCCCAGAGGUCUUUAAAAGGACGCUAGUUUGUCUCCAUGGAAAUGAAAAGGGAAGGAAAAUGCUGAAGUUAUUCUUAUUUGGUUUUUGCCACUUGGUCUUCGCCAUUACAGAAAUUAAGCAUGGUCUGACAGUGUGCUCCUUGCUAAGACAUGCUUUUGAGAGUAUGAAGGAGGACAUUAAUGAGGGUGCAAGGAUUCAGAAAUCAUUUUGCUUCUGUGUGGAGUGUGAAUACUGCGAAACUGAUUCACAGCCCCUCCACUUUAGACCCCUGUGUCUCUGUCAGGAGUACCUCUACAACCAUAGGAGACGUGGGAGAUUUUUCCAAAUUCAGGAGUCAAAGACAGG